GUCGCACUUAUCCACCCCGGCGGUGCCGAGCCCGCCAGGUUUGGCUCCAACUCUCAUGAGGCCGCAUUUCAUUUCAAAAGAAAGAAGACAACUCUCCUGAGGCCGAAAUUUCAGAUCCGCUCUUCUUUGCCCCAACCAUUGCAGCGGCCGACUCGCCGUCCAUCCGCUCAUGGAGAAGAUCUCCGUCGCCGUCCGCUUCCGCCCGCCCAAGUCUUCGGUCGAUGCCGACGCCGACUCGCCCUCCUUCUCGGGCGGCGGCGCUGUCGGGAACCGCGAGUGGCGCAUCGACGACUCCGGGAUCUCCCUCCUCCACCGCGCCGUCCCCGUCCCCGGCACCUCCUUCGUCUUCGACCACGUGUUCAACGAGUCUGUGACCAACGCGCGGAUCUACGGCCUGCUCGUCCGCUCCCUCAUCCGUGGUGCCGUAGAUGGCUUCAACGGCACUGCCUUCGCCUACGGCCAGACCAGCAGUGGCAAGACGUUUACCAUGAACGGCUCCGGUGCUGACCCUGGGAUCAUCCCGCUCGCUGUUCGCGACAUCUUUGACACAGCGGCCGAGGCUGCAGACAGGGAGUUCCUGAUCAGGGUCUCAUACAUGGAGAUUUAUAAUGAGGAGAUCAAUGACCUCCUGACACUCGGGAGCGAGAAGCUGCCAAUUCAUGAGAGCCUCGAGCGUGGUGUAUAUGUGUCGGGUCUGCGGGAAGAAAUUGUUAACAAUGCUGAACAAGUGCUACAACUCCUUGAGCUUGGAGAAGCAAAUAGACAUUUCGGAGAAACAAACAUGAAUGUCCGGAGCAGCCGGUCCCAUACUAUUUUUCGGAUGGUAAUUGAAAGCAGUGCUAAGCACCAGACGAACUCUGAAGAUGCAAUCCGUGUGUCUAUUUUGAACUUGGUCGAUUUAGCUGGGUCAGAAAGAAUCGCCAAGACAGGAGCUGAUGGUGUGCGGCUUAAGGAAGGGAAGCAUAUUAAUAAGAGCUUGAUGAUUCUCGGUAAUGUCAUCAAUAAGUUGAGUGAGAAUGGAAAGCAAAGAGGGCACAUCCCUUAUCGUGAUAGUAAGUUGACUCGCAUCCUCCAGUCUGCACUUGGAGGCAAUGCAAAGACAUCAAUCAUUUGCACGGCUGCACCUGAAGAGAUUCAUAUUGAGGAAACUAGAGGAACUCUUCAAUUUGCAAGUAGAGCAAAAUGUGUCAGCAAUUGUGCUCAAGUAAAUGAGAUUCUAACAGAUGCUGCUCUGCUGAAGAGGCAAAAACUGGAAAUAGAGGAACUUCGCAAAAAGCUGCAGGGUUCCCAUUCUGAAGUCUUGGAGCAGCUUAUCCUAAAGCAACGCAAUGACAUGCAUAAGUCUGAACUCGAGCGUGAUCGUCUAGCAAUGGAACUUGAAGAGGAAAGGAGGUUAAGGGAGACAUUAGAGCACCGGUUGGCUGAGCAAAAGAUGUCACAGAACCACAACGAUACCGACAUAUCAGUAGAGCAAUUUGCUGAUUCUAGCCAGCUAGACAUAUUAAAAACUCCAGAUUCUAAGCGGACACCAGAUGGAUUUGUUGCUAGCCGCUCACGCUAUUUGAAGGAUGCAGAGUUCAGCCCAAUACCUGAAAAUUUAGGUUCUGUAGCUGAUGAGGAUCUCUGGAUGCAAUUGAAUAAAGGAUGCAUCACUGAUCUUGAUAUGCUUGAAAUGACAUCUGAUUUUAAAUGUCCUCCAUUCCCAGAAGAUACGACAGCGGUUGUGCCAUUAGAGGAGCCUAUUGACGUGAGAUGCCUUAGGCUAGAAACUGCAUGCAGCUCCGAUAGGCAACAGCUCGAGGAUUCAAAAGCAAGAUGCACAACUCUCGAGAAGGAGCUUGAGCUGCUCAAGGAGGAAAACUCAUCCUUGCGACAAGAGCUCUCCAAGUCGAAGCACGACACAGAUCAUGAGAAAGAGGGACUGAUUAAGGAGCUGGAGACCGAGAGGUCCAAGAUGGAGGAGCUCAAGCAGGAUAUCAGGCUCUUUAGCCAGGCCUUCUCACAGAGGCAGGGUCAUCUGACGUCUCUGCACACCAAAUCCAAGGCCAUAGUGGAGAACUGCAAGGCCUCUCGGGUGGCAUUGCCCUGAUGAGAGCCUCAGCUGCUGUGGAAGUUUUCCCAUUUCUGCAACACUGCUUUACUGUAGAUUUCGUGGUGCUUGUAAUACAAGUGUGCGUGUCGUGUGUGUGCAGUGUGCUGGGUUUUCUAAUUCAGUCGUUAUCAUUAAGUGUGUGUAAGCAAGAUCUGGAAACCGGUGUGGGUAUACCUAGGAAAAGGGCAUCGGUUUUAUUUGUCAUUAGGAAUCUGAAAAGUGUCAAAUGUAGUUGACACAUGAUUGUCCUAUGUUAGUUAAUGUAACUAGCAAAUGUGCCCCUGCGUUACUACGGAAGAAACAAAUGCUUACCUGCUGUCGUAU
rnacentral:rRNA from 1 species